AUGUCUUCCCCCAUCGCUUGUGUCGGUGAGCCAUUGAGAUCCGCCUCUGCCAUCGUCGCCACCUCGGCGAGAGGAUAUCAUACCCUCAAGAUCGACGGUUACCGGUGCACCAAGGCGACCCCCGCGGGUGAGUUCCUCCAAUCCAGUCAGUUCUUCGUCGGCGGCCAUUGCUGGCGCAUCUACUAUUACCCCAAUGGCAAGGACUCCGAAACAGUGGAUUAUAUUUCCUUUUACCUCAAACUCGAUGAAAUUGUAACCGAGGAUGUGAAGACAAUGUUCACUAUUAAUUUCGCCAAGGUGCUUGGGAAGCGACUGUCAUGGCCGUCGGCAUCCACAACUGGAUAUGUUUUUGGUGGUAAGCAAAUGUGGGGAUAUCCAAACUUCAUCAAGAGGGAGAAUUUGGAGAAGUCGGAGCAUCUCAAGGAUGAUUCUUUCACAAUCAGGUGUGACGUUGUCGUCGUCCAUGACAUCUGCACCAAACAGACCAGCACUCCAAAGUUUGUCUUUGUGCCCCCACCGGAGCUGAAUCAGCACCUCGGUGAUCUCCUCAAGACCGAGAAGGGCGCUGACGUUGUGUUUGAGGUAGGCGGUGAGAUGAUUCCUGCACACCGGUGUGUGCUCGCGUCGCGAUCUCCAGUCUUCAGCGCGGAGCUCUUUGGUGUGAUGAAGGAGGGCGACACAGCCAGUGUCAUACACAUAGAUGACUUGGAGGCACAGGUGUUCAAGGAGUUGCUCUACGUUGCCUACACUGACUCAUUGCGAGAGGCAAAAGAAGAAGAGGAAGAUAUCAUGUGCCAGCAUCUGCUCAUUGCGGCGGACAGGUAUAACAUGGAGAGGCUAAAGCUGAUUUGUGAGGAAAAAUUAUGCAAGUACAUUGAUGCAGGCUCUGUUCCGACCAUUCUAGCACUUGCUAAGCAGUACCACUGCAAUGGGUUGAAGAAGGCAUGCUUUGAUUUUCUCAGCUGCCCGGCACAUCGGAGGGCAGUCGUGGCCACUGACGGCUUCAAGAAUUUGUGCAAGAGCUUCCAUUCUCUUGUGAUGGAGCUGAUUGCCAUGCCCUCGCCACCUUAG
rnacentral:rRNA from 1 species